rnacentral:rRNA from 1 species
UACAGAGGUCUCAAGCGUUGUUCGGAUUCAUUGGGCGUAAAGGGUGCGUAGGUGGCGCUGUAAGUCGGGUGUGAAAUUUCGGAGCUUAACUCCGAAACUGCAUUCGAUACUGCGGUGCUUGAGGACUGGAGAGGAGGCUGGAAUUCAUGGUGUAGCAGUGAAAUGCGUAGAGAUCAUGAGGAAGACCAGUGGCGAAGGCGGGUCUCUGGACAGUUCCUGACACUGAGGCACGAAGGCCAGGGGAGCAAACGGG